ACGAACGCUGGCGGCACGCUUAACACAUGCAAGUCGAACGAGAGAAGAGGAGCUUGCUUUUCUGAUCUAGUGGCGGACGGGUGAGUAACACGUGAGCAAUCUGCCUUUCAGAGGGGGAUACCGAUUGGAAACGAUCGUUAAUACCGCAUAACAUAAUUGAACCGCAUGAUUUGAUUAUCAAAGAUUUAUCGCUGAAAGAUGAGCUCGCGUCUGAUUAGCUAGUUGGUAAGGUAACGGCUUACCAAGGCGACGAUCAGUAGCCGGACUGAGAGGUUGAUCGGCCACAUUGGGACUGAGACACGGCCCAGACUCCUACGGGAGGCAGCAGUGGGGAAUAUUGCACAAUGGAGGAAACUCUGAUGCAGCGAUGCCGCGUGAGGGAAGAAGGUUUUAGGAUUGUAAACCUCUGUCUUCAGGGACGAAAAAAGACGGUACCUGAGGAGGAAGCUCCGGCUAACUACGUGCCAGCAGCCGCGGUAAUACGUAGGGAGCGAGCGUUGUCCGGAAUUACUGGGUGUAAAGGGAGCGUAGGCGGGAUCGCAAGUCAGAUGUGAAAACUAUGGGCUUAACCCAUAAACUGCAUUUGAAACUGUGGUUCUUGAGUGAAGUAGAGGUAAGCGGAAUUCCUAGUGUAGCGGUGAAAUGCGUAGAUAUUAGGAGGAACAUCAGUGGCGAAGGCGGCUUACUGGGCUUUAACUGACGCUGAGGCUCGAAAGCGUGGGGAGCAAACAGGAUUAGAUACCCUGGUAGUCCACGCCGUAAACGAUGAUUACUAGGUGUGGGGGGACUGACCCCUUCCGUGCCGCAGCAAACGCAAUAAGUAAUCCACCUGGGGAGUACGACCGCAAGGUUGAAACUCAAAGGAAUUGACGGGGGCCCGCACAAGCAGUGGAGUAUGUGGAUUAAUUCGAAGCAACGCGAAGAACCUUACCAGGUCUUGACAUCGUAUGCAUAGCUCAGAGAUGAGUGAAAUCUCUUCGGAGACAUAUAGACAGGUGGUGCAUGGUUGUCGUCAGCUCGUGUCGUGAGAUGUUGGGUUAAGUCCCGCAACGAGCGCAACCCUUACUGUUAGUUGCUACGCAAGAGCACUCUAGCAGGACUGCCGUUGACAAAACGGAGGAAGGUGGGGAUGACGUCAAAUCAUCAUGCCCCUUAUGACCUGGGCCUCACACGUACUACAAUGGCUGUCAACAGAGGGAAGCAAAGCCGCGAGGUGGAGCAAACCCCUAAAAGCAGUCUUAGUUCGGAUUGUAGGCUGCAACCCGCCUACAUGAAGUCGGAAUUGCUAGUAAUCGCAGAUCAGCAUGCUGCGGUGAAUACGUUCCCGGGCCUUGUACACACCGCCCGUCGCGCCAUGGGAGUCGGUAACACCCGAAGCCUGUAGUCUAACCGCAAGGAGGACGCAGUCGAAGGUGGGAUUGAUGACUGGGGUG
rnacentral:rRNA from 1 species